CGUGAAAUCCUUUUUUUGGAAUGUGGCAGAAUAGAGUACGAAAUGUAAAGACUUAACGCAGUAGCCUUCUUUUACAGUUUUAGCAUACUCUGUUUACAGAAGACCUGGUUUUUUUGUUUUUUUGUUUUUUUUACUGUAAAAUAAGUUUAUUAGUAGUAAGGUGAUAGAAUUUAUUCCCGAUAUCUGAUGUUACAACCUUUAGGGUCCUUGAGAUAUGCAGGAUCCUUGUAUGUAACUGACAUAAACCCCAUUAUUUGAGCUCUCUUAAUUGCUUUCGUGAUUUCUUUCUGUUUCUUCCCACAAAGACCAGGUCCUCGUUGCUGGAUACCUGUUUAUAUUGUGAACAACCUCUUCUCCAAAGCACCGUGUGAGUCCCGGAAUGUGUAAGGCUGACAGCAGCCGUUACCAGGUGUGUCAACUUCUUCCUCCCUAGACCACCGCAAACAGCAACCAUAGCGGCCGUGGUUCCGCAUUUCUUCCACUUCCUUUCAUCCCAAAUGGUCCUUGAGAUAUGCAGGAUCCUUGUAUGUAACUGACAUAAACCCCAUUAUUUGAGCUCUCUUAAUUGCUUUCGUGAUUUCUUUCUGUUUCUUCCCACAAAGACCAGGUCCUCGUUGCUGGAUACCUGUUUAUAUUGUGAACAACCUCUUCUCCAAAGCACCGUGUGAGUCCCGGAAUGUGUAAGGCUGACAGCAGCCGUUACCAGGUGUGUCAACUUCUUCCUCCCUAGACCACCGCAAACAGCAACCAUAGCGGCCGUGGUUCCGCAUUUCUUCCACUUCCUUUCAUCCCAAAUCCAGGACCUGGUUUUUAAAGGAUCACUUCCUUCCCAAGUGAGGCUUCAAGCUCCUUGGCAUCAGUUGGUUUUGAUUCAGAGCAAAGUCAUUUUAGUAAAGGACAGUUUGCUACAUGGAUUUUAGAUUAAAAUCGAGGAGAUGAAUUUUGUGCAGCAGGUAUGUAAAAUACAAAAAUGUAUUCUCCAUGAUGUGGUUCCAGUUUUCUGGAAAUAUCAAAAAAAAAUUUUUUUUUUUUUUGAGGUGGAGUUUUGCUCUUGUUGUCCAGGCUGGAGUGCAAUGGCAUGAUCUCGGCUCACGACAACCUCUGCCUCCCA
rnacentral:lncRNA from 1 species